GACGAACGCUGGCGGCGUGCCUAACACAUGCAAGUCGAGCGGAGUCGAUCGACGGAAGCCUUCGGGCGGAAGAUGGUUGACUUAGCGGCGGAUGGGUGAGUAACGCGUGGGCAACCUGCCUCGAAGACCGGGAUAACAGCCCGAAAGGGCUGCUAAUACCGGAUGUGGUCAAGGAUCCGCAUGGAUUUUUGAUUAAAGGGGAAACCCGUUUCGAGAUGGGCCCGCGUCCUAUCAGCUAGUUGGUGAGGUAAAAGCUCACCAAGGCGACGACGGGUAGCCGGCCUGAGAGGGUGACCGGCCACACUGGAACUGAGACACGGUCCAGACUCCUACGGGGGCAGCAGUGGGGAAUCUUCCACAAUGGGCGAAAGCCUGAUGGAGCGACGCCGCGUGAGCGAAGAAGGCCUUCGGGUUGUAAAGCUCUGUCUGGAGGGACGAAGGAAGUGACGGUACCUCCGGAGAGCCACGGCUAACUACGUG
rnacentral:rRNA from 1 species